AGCAGUGUGGCUUAGCGGAAAGAGCAUGGGCUUGGGAGUCAAAGGGUGUGGGUUCUAAUCCCGACACUGCCA
rfam:Ornithorhynchus anatinus chromosome X1, whole genome shotgun sequence.